UAACACUUGUUCUCGUACGAUCACUGAAGUUAAGCAACGUCGAACCAGAUCAGUACCUAGAUGGGUGCUUACUUCGGAAUACCAGGCGCUGUAA